CCUACGGGUGGCAGCAGUGAGGAAUAUUGGUCAAUGGACGAGAGUCUGAACCAGCCAAGUAGCGUGAAGGAUGACUGCCCUAUGGGUUGUAAACUUCUUUUAUAAGGGAAUAAAACGUUGCACGUGUGGCUUUUUGUAUGUACCUUAUGAAUAAGGAUCGGCUAACUCCGUGCCAGCAGCCGCGGUAAUACGGAGGAUCCGAGCGUUAUCCGGAUUUAUUGGGGUUAAAGGGAGCGUAGGUGGUUUGUUAAGUCAGUUGUGAAAGUUUGCGGCUCAACCGUAAAAUUGCAGUUGAUACUGGCAGUCUUGAGUACAGUAGAGGUAGGCGGAAUUCGUGGUGUAGCGGUGAAAUGCUUAGAUAUCACGAAGAACUCCGAUUGCGAAGGCAGCUUACUGGACUGCGACUGACACUGAGGCUCGAAAGUGUGGGUAUCAAACAGGAUUAGAUACCCUUGUAGUC
rnacentral:rRNA from 1 species